rnacentral:rRNA from 1 species
GUUUGAUCAUGGCUCAGAUUGAACGCUGGCUGGAUGCUUUACACGUACAAGUCGGAACUGCAGCACGGACUUCGGUCUGGUGGCGAGUGGCGAACUGGUGAAAUGUCGCUGUCAGGAACAUUGCCUAGUAGCGGGGAUAACUACGCAGCGUAGCUAAUACCAUACGCCCUUCCAGGAAAGCGGGGACAUUCGGGCCUGUCUGCACACUGUCCGACGACGAUAUCGGAUUAGCUAGUUGGUGGGGGUAACGGCUCACCAAGGCGACGAUCAAUAGCUGGUUUUGAGAGGACGACCAGCACACUGGGACUGAGACACGGCCCGAACUCCUGCACAGGAGGAAGCAGCAGUGGGGAAUUUUGGACAAUAGGGAAACCCUGAUCCAGCCAUCCCGCGUGUGCGAUGAGGCCUUCGGUUUGUAAAAGCACUUUUGGCGGAAAGAAACGGCACGGGAUAAUACCCGUGCAAAGCUGACUGAUACCACCGAUCAAGCACCGGCUAACUACGUGCCAGCAACCGCGGUAGCCGUAAGUGCAAGCGUUAAUCGGAAUUACUGGGCGUAAGCGUGCGCGGGCGGUUGGAAGAAAGAUGUGAAAUCCCAGAGAGCUUAACUUUGGAACUCCAUUUUUUAACUACCGAGCUGAGUGUGUCAGAGGAGGUGGAAUUCCGCACGUGUAGCAGUGAAAUGCGUAGAUAUGCGGAGGAAUUUCCCGAUGGCGAAGGCAGCCUCCUGGGACAACACUGACGCUCAUGCACGAAAGCGUGGGGAGCAAACAGGAUUAGAUACCCUGGUAGUCCACGCCCUAAACGAUGUCAACUAGCUUAUUUGGGGGCCUUCGGGCCUUGGUAGCGCAACUUUAACGUGUGAAGUUGACCUGGGGAGAUACGGUCGCAAGAUUAAAACUCAAAAGGAAUUGACGGGGACCCGCACAAGCGGUGGAUGAUGGAUUAAUUCGAUGCAACGCGAAAAACCUUACCUACCUGACAUGUCUGGAAUCGAAGAGAUUUGGGAGUGUACCGCAAGAGAACCGGAACACAGGUGCUGCACCCGGCUGUGUCGUCAGCUCGUGUCGUGAGAUCAUUGGGUUAAGUCCCGCAACAGGCGCAACCCUUGUCAUUGGUUUCACUUUGAAAAGGGCACUCUAAUGAGACUGCCGGUGCGACAAACCGGGAGGAAGGUGAGGAUGACGUCAAGUCCUCAUGGCCCUUAUGGGUAAGGGCUUCACGUCAUACAAUGGUCAGGACAGAGGUCGCCAACCCACGAGGGAGACAAAUCUGAAACCCGAUCGUAGUCAGGAUCGCAGAGUCUCGCAACUCGACUGCAUUGGUCGGAAUCGCUAGUAAUCGCGGAUCAGCAUGUCGCGGUGAAUACGUUCCCGGAGUCAGCGUACACACCGCCCGUCACACCAUGGGAGUGGGUUUUACCAGAAGUAGUUAGCUAACCGUAAGGGCGAUUACGCACAAUACAGGAUUCAUGACUGGGGUGAAGUCAUGUAAAGGUAA